rnacentral:lncRNA from 13 species
CAGAGGCUUCCACGCGUCCCGCGGUGCGCCCGGUGCGGCGGGGGCACCUCCACUCCGCCGGGGCCCGAGUUCGCUGGGGGACAACUUACUGCGCUCGCCGAGCGUCCACACUGCAAACUCACAAGCGGGAGGGGGGAAACAGCCCAGGCUGUGCGGUGCCGAGGAGUAGAGGCAACAAAAGACCGAGAGACGAGGGGAGGGAGGCAGAAACGAAGGGAACCCUGGCUCUGGCCCCUCGCUCCCCGAAAGCGCCCCUUGGAUGCUGCUGGGGAGGCCCUCCGGGCUUCUCUUUGGGGCUUCUGGGGCCCGCGGCUCAGACAGGUAGUUGGAAGAGAGAACAAAGCUGCUCCCGGAGGCAGGAGGUGGCCUCCGGGCGCCCCGGGGCGGGGAGGGCCGAGGCGGAGGAGGCGCUGUGCGCCUGCCCUCUCCCCGCUCUGCCCCGUGGCCCGAGCGCUCAGCACCGACUGCCUCCGCCGCCUCCCCUCGCGCCUUCUCCUCCCCGGGGAAGCGGCCAGCUUCCGAAGGGGCGGGUGGCAGGCGGCUGAGGACCCGGGGGAGCGGGGAAGGCCGGCGGCGUCGGAGGGAGGGUGCGCCGGGGGAGGGGGCGGGGCGGGGGGCGGGGGAGCCCCCCCUACGCCGCCGAGCCGGGCGGGCCCCGACCGCCACCCUGCCGCAAUUUCCCUGUGUCAUGGCUCCGGUCUCUUAGCAACAGCCGCCAGUCCGGCCGCCCCGAGCCGCCGCCGCGGGCUCAACUCCACCCGGCGGAGCCCGGCGCGCCGCAGCCACACAAAAGAGGCGCGAGGGCCGGCGGCGCGGCUGCAGGGGCCCGCCCGGGAGCACCGCGCUAGGAGACGCCGCCUGCGGGAGGAGGAGCGGCGGAGAGGAGGGCUCCGAGACGGGAUGCGGGAUGCGGAGGACCUGACACUUCUUGGAAACUCUUGGAAAUGGCUCCCGCCACGGCGCCGGAGGGGGCUGCGAGCCUGGGGCGGGCGCUCGCCCCCGCGGGGCUGCUGA